rnacentral:tRNA from 2 species
GGGCCUGUGGCUCAGUCAGGUGGAGCGACGGACUUUUAAUCCGUUGGUCGCGGGUUCGAACCCCGUCAGGCCCG